rnacentral:ncRNA from 1 species
AUACAAAAAGCGCCUGAACUUAGUUAAUGAUGAAUUAAGAAUUAUGAAUGAUGAAUUAAUGUAAAAACUCCUUAUAGGAGUUUAUAAAAUUUAAUUUAUAGAAAUUCUUAUAGAAUUUCUUCAUUAAUUCAUAAUUCAUCACUCAUCAUUCAUCAUUAACUAAGUUGACGAGGAUGAGAUUUAUCGAAUUUUUUCGGCGGAUAUCUCACGUAAAUAGCACUAGCGUUAAUAAUUAACAAAACUACAAAGUAAUUUGUAGGACAAAUUUAAUU